UGGAAUGAAGAGCGCACUUGUUGAGUUUGAGAACUUUCAGAAGCUUGAACUUCUCGCUUUGGACGCAGCGAAGCUCUCUCUUCAACAUCAUCUUCAUCAGGCAACAUGGAUUCCUGCUGGCUUUUUAUUUCUAGGACUAUGUUUGUCUCUGUCGAAGUGUAUGUUGGUUGUGUUUUACGCGUUAGUCGCGCACCGUUACAGCGCGCAGGAGGAAUCAAUAACAUUACAGCGAGGAUGAAGAAGACGUGCCUUUAAUCGAUUAAUAGAUAUAGGAGAGUUCAUGGAUUUAUGGACUGAGACUGGAGUCUAAAGAGACUGGAGAAUAGAGAACAUCGCUGUUAAGAUGCAUCAACCACCCAAAUCCAAUGGGAAACUACAGCAUGCUGUCAUCUGUUCAGACAGAGUGACAUUUGUCUGGUAAAAAUCACACCGCUACAUCAAAAAACUCUCCGACGUAAACACACAAACUGGGUCUCACGGGAGGCUCUGGAUAGCAUUAUUGAGGAACUGUACAGUAAAUAAAAGCUGUGUAGAUUUACAGAGCCUCAAUUUAUCACUCAGCACAGGAGAGCAGAUGAUGCAGGACUAUAAAGUCCAUCCAGCCGUGAACCCAAGGGAAAGAAUGUUAUCGUCCUCUAAGCUGUCUGACAUUUACAUCACUCAUCCUGAUACUGCCUCGUCACACCGUCACCACCAAUCCGAGGCCUUUAUUUAUACUGUAAUUUGUACCAGGAUUUACUGUAUGAGGGAGAACAUUUUUUUCUUUACUGGAUCACUGACUAUUAAACAAAUAUAAAUUA